GCCCCACUCUCCCACGCAACCUCCCCUUUCCUCGUUUUCCCUUCCCAGGAUGGGCGGCUAGGGUUGCCACCGCCGCCCCCGUCCCCGCCCCAUCAGCACAUCCCAGUUCCUCCGACGCCGACCACUGGAGAAAGCGCCUUACUCAGAUCCGCUUCUCCCCCUCGUCUUCGUGUUCCACCCGCCCAGUAUGGUUGUAGAGGAGGGGCGAGGAAGGGGAUGGCGUGGCCGUCGGCCGGAGGCAGAGCAGGGUGCUGCCAGCGGGAGAGGCACCCCUCCCUGCUUCUUGGCGAGCGUUGGCACUUCUUCCAGGCCCGCUACUUCGUCGGGGAGGACGAGAUCAACCUGCUCCAGGCCCAAAGAAGAAGAGCACGGAGAACAUCCUCUCCUUUACAUCUACAAUCGAAUUUAUAGGUCACAAAAUGGCAAAAUGCUUUGAAUAGCAUAUGUACUUCCGUCAGUUGCAUUCCAUGUCUUUUAUCUCAUCUAUUUUAUUUGGAUUAGGAGAUGGAAAUUUAAAGGGAAAGGAAAGCAGCGGCAUCCCGUGUACUUACGUUCAGAUUUAUGGGCAGAGAGACAGUAACUUGUAAGGUAGGGCUAUGAGUGAUGGGAGAGCACUUGUUGUCAGGGCUGGCUACGGCGGCAACAAGAUAACAUUCACGGUAGUGAUGUGCUACCUCACGGCGGCCUCCGACGGGCUCAUUCUUGGAUACGACGUCAGAAUCACAGGUUCUUUGUACCACGGACUUUGACCCUAUUUCUGAGAUCAGGUAACUGGAUACUUGACACAUAGUUGAGACAAUUGCAUUUCAAUAACUGAAACUAUUUUUGCCCUAUACUUAUAUUUUAUUAGCCUUUGUGCAACCAUCCAACAAAAGAAAGAGCAGCUAUAUAGUUUCCUUGGAUUGCACGAUAAUAACAUUUCUUGCUUAGGAAUAACAUGAACAUUCACUCUCAUGAAGUACCAACAUCGCUAUUUUUUAGUGACCCGGAGUUUAGUUCGGCAUCAUUAUGAGAGUCCUCUGGACAAAGUUAGGCUUAGACCUGGAAUUGCUUCAUGUGAGUUUCUCUGAACUGUACUAGCCCAGAAUGCUAACAUACACAGGUAUUGCCCAGGGUUUAAUAUUAACUUGGAACUUUGUUCAGUCUUAUGAAAGCUUUACUGAAUCCUAUUAACAUGUAUUUACUUAAGGAUAGUGCAGGAUCAGCACGGGCCACUGAGGAACACGUGAGUUUUCAUCCAUUGUCAAAUACCACUGAAGUUGUGUAUAUAUGUAGGGUUAGUCACAUGUCAUCAGUGCUUUGUUUGGUCUCUCAUCCACUAAAUGUUGUUUACUUUGCUAUUACUACUACAAAGUCAUAGUUCAGUUACUCAUUUUUAAUCACAUGUCCAUCACAAACUCCUGAAUCUGACAGUAAGGUUUUAAUCCACACAUAAGGACAUGUAUUCUAUGUAUUAGUUGCCACAUCAAUAUUUGCGUUUAUGCUCAAAAUAUACCCCGUGGUAUACUUAGAACUGUUGCCCUACAAGCUAACUUGCAUCAUGUAUGUAUCUUCUAUUAGGUAUCGUAGUAAAGACAGUUCGAAAUACAUUCCCUGGGAUGGUCCAUGAUACUCUGGUAGCUCUUUAGGUAUCCUAUAUCUUUUAUUUGUGCAUCAUUCACCUUUGGUAAAUCCAGUGCGUUGACCACUAGCGACCACUUUCUUUUCUGUGUAUUGGUGCAGUUGUUGCAUAUUCUACCAUCAUCAUUUCCCUUUCCUCUUGCUUGCUCCUCAUUUAUUUCCUUGAGCAAGUGGAUGGCUAUUUAUGUAGGUACAUGUUUUCUUAUGGCUCUCAUUGUUUGUAUGGCCUUCCCAGGAGAUGUAGGCCUUCAUUUUUGCAGUUUCAGGUAUUAACAUUGUUGAAUAUCAUCCUCAACAACUCCUUGCCACGGCCACUAGCUGUAAGACACCGUUCCCUACAUAAUUAGUUUCUUUCUUGUUCCUUGAGUUCUUACUUGCUGCUGUAGUUGAUUGGAUUGGGAGAUAUUUGUGUUUUAUCAAAUUCAUAUGGGAUUCUUUUAAGUUUGAGAAAAAAUGAUCGAAGAGAACGAGGAAGGCCCCGAUCAGCCGACGGACGUGGCGGCUGCUGCGGCUGUUGAUGCUCUGGGCAUGUACAGCACAGCCGCGUCGGCCUUGGCGGCAGGCGCAUCACAAAGUUCUAUGUGUAAAUGAACUGCGGCGACAAUUCUGGAGCUGCAAUUCACCGACAUGAUGAAGAGUAUCAUCUUAUAGAUAUAGUGUUAAGAUUGCUUAUUUAUUUGAUGUAUUUGGUUAGUUUUUUAUGAAGAAGAGCAUCGUAUGUAAUGCAUCAGUUGUACAUGCAUGCAUUUUAUCAAUCAGAGCUCAAAUUCACUGAAAGGGCGCCACCCUACCUGGCACCGCAGAAACUUCCUCUCAGGCGGCAGGUGGCGCCACACGUUGGCGAUGUCAUUGUCUUUUCUCCUAAGGAUGAUCCAUCGACAGAUUGCACUACUUUCAUGCUGAUGUGCAUUAACUUCAUGCAAUAGCAUUGUGCAGUACACCCAGGAAAGUGAAAGGGACGCACCCAACCUGGCACCGCCGAAAUUCCUCUCAGGCAGCGCGCCACGGGCGCGCCCCAACCACUAGUGUUGAUAAGUUACUUAGGUAUACUAGAUGACGCCCCUUACGUUGUUGCGGGGAUAUUUCGCAACAUAAUCCGAUGAAGUGGCAUGCUUGCUUGUUAAGAGACAUAUGAUAGUAGGGGUGGGCUUUUCUCAUGCAUGUUAUGAGAUGAUGUUGUAUGCUUGCAUGUUGAGAGUACUAGUUAGUAGGAGGUAACUUUUUUAAUCAAAUAUAUGUA